rnacentral:siRNA from 1 species
CAGAGAACAGUGCUUCAGGACAA